AAAAAAAAAACCAAAAAACCAAAAAAAAAAAAAUUAUAAUGCCAAAAAAGUUAAAAAAUAAUCCUCUGAUUUGAUAAAUUUGCUGCAAAGAGGCUGUUCUGUUUUCUUGUUUAUAGGUAUACAUCACAUCAAUAGGCUACAAUACCUGUGGAACUAAUCAAUCCUCACAGAGUGAGUUGAUAAUCUUAUUUGGUUCCUACAAGGAAAGAAAACACCAUGAGCUGGAAUAAAACUUCCUGUGGAAGUGAUGGGAAGUUUGUGGACUUUGCUGCCAGCAAUUACCCACUGGACGAUCCAGAAAGAAACACCAUGAAUCACGUUCUGCAAACGUGUGAACUUGAGAGUCUCCUGAAGAAAGAGCAGGCGUCUCUGUACACCAAUACUGCAGCCAGCCGUGUUCAAAAUUCGUCAAAUACCUUGUGAUGUCUAAAUAAAAAGAUUCUUACAGGUACAGACACAUCCACCAGGCCAUGCCGAGUGCAAAAUACAAGAAGGUGGUGGAGGAAAGUGGACACUGAUUGUUUUAAAAAGAUGCGCCUAUCUCUUCUAUGGUUUGGGUUUAUUUCAUUUUUUAUUUUUUUCCCCCAAAACCCAUAUGAAACACCUCUUCCCACAGUUGAUCAGAAGAAUGCAUGGCUGGCUCUGAGUGCUACAUAUGCUGUGGGGGAAGACAAGCCCAGGCUGCUACCAGCACAGGGGGCCGAAGUAAGUCUGUUCCUGGGGCUUCUCUCCUACUAGCUGCUUUCGUAUUGGUACCUGAGAGAAGUUCUAACACCAGUAAACAAAAAAAACUAUACUUCUGACCCCUUACUCUAAACACCUGCCAAUAUAACAAGGUUGCAUGGAAAUGAACAGGCAUGGGUGUGCUUAAUAAAACUACAAAAUCUGGCAGUAGACUAGGUUUGGCCCAUGGGUCCACCCAUGUUCUAAACCAACAUUUCACAGUUUACAUUUAAUGCAUUACUUGCAUUUAUUUAUUUUUGGUACCAGGGAUUGAACUCGGGUCCUUGCACUUGCGAGGCAGGUGGCAGAAUCACUGAGAUAAAUCCCCG
rnacentral:lncRNA from 1 species